rnacentral:rRNA from 1 species
CCUACGGGUGGCAGCAGUGAGGAAUAUUGGUCAAUGGGCGAGAGUCUGAACCAGCCAAGUCGCGUGAGGGAUGACUGACCUAUGGGUUGUACACUUCUUUUAUAUGGGAAUAAAGAAUGGUAUGCAUACCCUCUUGUAUGUACCAUAUGAAUAAGGAUCGGCUAACUCCGUGCCAGCAGCCGCGGUAAUACGGAGGAUCCGAGCGUUAUCCGGAUUUCUUGGGUUUAAAGGGUGCGUAGGCGGCUUGUUAAGUCAGUUGUGAAAGUUUGCGGCUCAACCGUAAAAUUGCAGUUGAAACUGGCAGGCUUGAGUACAGUAGAGGUGGGCGGAAGUCGUGGUGUAGCGGUGAAAUGCUUAGAUAUCACGAAGAACCCCGAUUGCGAAGGCAGCUCACUGGACUGUAACUGACACUGAUGCUCGAAAGUGUGGGUAUCAAACAGGAUUAGAUACCCGAGUAGUC